GAUGAAGAACGCAGCGAAAUGCGAUAAGUAGUGUGAAUUGCAGAAUUCAGUGAAUCAUCGAAUCUUUGAACGCACAUUGCGCCCCCUGGUAUUCCGGGGGGCAUGCCUGUCCGAGCGUCAUUGCUGCCCUCAAGCACGGCUUGUGUGUUGGGCCUCCGUCCUCCUCCCGGGGGACGGGCCCGAAAGGCAGCGGCGGCACCGCGUCCGGUCCUCGAGCGUAUGGGGCUUCGUCACCCGCUCUUGUAGGCCCGGCCGGCGCUUGCCGAAACAUCAAUCUUUUUUCCAGGUUGACCUCGGAUCAGGUAGGGAUACCCGCUGAACUUAAGCAUAUCAAUAAGCGGAGGA
rnacentral:misc_RNA from 1 species